rnacentral:rRNA from 1 species
UACGAGAGGUCCAAACGUUAUUCGGAAUUACUGGGCUUACAGAGUUCGUAGGCGGCUCUACACGUGAGGUGUGAAAGCCCUCGGCUCAACCGAGGAACUGCGCUUCAAACUGUAGAACUAGAGGGAGAUAGAGGUGAGCAGAACUGAUGGUGGAGCGGUGAAAUGCGUUGAUAUCAUCAGGAAUACCGGAGGCGAAGGCGGCUCACUGGGCCGAAACUGACGCUGAGGAGCGAAAGCGUGGGGAGCAAACAGG